CGAGUAACACGUAGGUAAUCUACCCUUCGGUGGGGGAUAACCUCCCGAAAGGAGGGCUAAUACCGCAUCCGAUUCCCAAGACGAGAGUCUCGGGAAAGAAAGCCGGCCUCUUCUUGAAAGCUACCGCACCUAGAUGAGUUUGCGUACCAUUAGCUAGUUGGUGAGGUAACGGCCCACCAAGGCGACGAUGGUUAGCGGGUCUGAGAGGAUGAUCCGUCACACUGGCACUGGAACACGGGCCAG
rnacentral:rRNA from 1 species